GAAAAGGAGGGUUCAAUCCCUUCCCUUAUUA
rnacentral:tRNA from 1 species